AUGCUGCAAUGUAUGGUGGGAAAUUAAUGUGUAAUUCAUUAGCUGUUCCUGCAACGGUAAUAACAUUUGUUUAAGUCCGAGAGCCACCCAGCAUAGACCCCUGUUGAAUGAAGGCCAGGAAAAGUCUAGUUCUACAAUGAAAAA
rnacentral:ncRNA from 1 species